UUCCGGUUGAUCCUGCCGGACCUUACUGCUAUCGGGACGAGACUAAAACAUGCUAGUUGUGCGCACCCUAGCCACGUUGGGAGCGCAGCAAACGGCUCCGUAACACGUAGUCAAUCUAACCUUAGGACGAGGAUAACCCCCGGGAAACUGGGGCUAAUACUCGAUAGGCGAUAAAAGCCUGGAAUGGCAUUUCACCUAAAGGGUUUUAGUAACACGCUACUAAAACUGCCUAAGGAUGAGACUGCGGCCGAUCAGGUUGUUGGUGGGGUAACGGCCUACCAAGCCUAUGACCGGUACGGGCCCUGAGAGGGGGAGCCCGGAGAUGGGAACUGAGACAAGGUCCCAGACCCCACGGGGUGCAGCAGUUGCGAAACCUCUACAAUGCACGAAAGUGUGAUAGGGUUAUCCCGAGUGCCGUCCGAUGAGGAUGGCUUUUCCUCGGUGUAAGAACCCGGGGGAAUAAAGGGGGGGCAAGACUGGUGUCAGCCGCCGCGGUAAUACCAGCCCCCUAAGUGGUAAGGAUGAUCAUUUGGCCUAAAGCGUCCGUAGCCGGCUUAGUGAGUCUUUCGUUAAAUUCGGCGACUUAAUCGUCGGUCUGCGAGAGAUACUGCUAGGCUUGAGGACGGGAGAGGUUGACGGUAUUCCGGGGGUAGGGGCAAAAUCCUAUAAUCCUCUGAGGACCACCAGUGGCGAAAGGCGGUCGACUAGAACGUGCCUGACGGUGAUGGACGAAAGCUGGGGGAGCAAACCGGAUUAGACACCCGGGUAGUCCCAGCCGUAAACGAUGUGGCUAGUGUUGGGGCAGCCACGAGCUGCUCCGGUGCCGCAGAGAGUCAUUAAGCCCACCGCCUGGGAGUACGGUCGCAGACUGAACUUAAAGGAAUUGGCGGGGGGAGCACACAGGGGUGAGCUGCGUCAUGACUCACGCGG
rnacentral:rRNA from 1 species